CCUACGGGAGGCAGCAGUGAGGAAUAUUGGUCAAUGGGCGGAAGCCUGAACCAGCCAAGUAGCGUGCGGGAUGAAGGCCCUACGGGUCGUAAACCGCUUUUGCACGGGGAUAACACCCUCCACUUGUGGAGGUCUGCAGGUACCGUGCGAAUAAGGGCCGGCUAAUUCCGUGCCAGCAGCCGCGGUAAUACGGAAGGCCCGAGCGUUAUCCGGAUUCAUUGGGUUUAAAGGGAGGGUAGGCGGGCGUUCAAGGCAGCGGUAAAAUCGGGCGGUCCAACCGCGCCCUGCAGUUGAAACUGGGAGCCUUGAGUUCACAACAGGCAGGCGGAAUUCGUGGUGUAGCGGUGAAAUGCAUAGAUAUCACGAGGAACCCCGAUUGCGAAGGCAGCCUGCCGGGGUGCGACUGACGCUGAGGCUCGAAGGUGCGGGUAUCAAACAGGAUUAGAUACCCGGGUAGUC
rnacentral:rRNA from 1 species